rnacentral:rRNA from 1 species
CCUACGGGAGGCAGCAGUGAUGAAUAUUGGUCAAUGGGCGCGAGCCUGAACCAGCCAAGUCGCGUGAGGGAAGACGGUCCUAUGGAUUGUAAACCUCUUUUGUCGGGGAGCAAAAGACGCCACGUGUGGCGUUCCGAGAGUACCCGAAGAAAAAGCAUCGGCUAACUCCGGGCCAGCCGCCGCGGUAAUACGGAGGAUGCGAGCGUUAUCCGGAUCUAUUGGGUUAAAAGGGUGCGCAGGCGGAAGGUCAAGUCAGCGGUAAAAGUGAGAGGCUCAACCUCUUCGAGACGUUGAAACUGGUUUUCUUGAGUGAGCGAGAAGUAGGCAGAAUGCGUGGUGUAGCGGUGAAAUGCAUAGAGAUCACGCAGAACACCGAUGGCGAAGGCGGCAUACCGGCGCUAAACUGACACUCAUGCACGAAAGUGUGGGUAUCGAACAGGAUUAGAUACCCCUGUAGUC